CUGGGCCGUGUCCAGUCCCGGGUCCUGCUUGGGUGCAAACCUGCUGCAAGGUGAGCAGCAGGGAACUAAAGCCAAGGAGGGGCUCCUCACACUGCACCCAUGCCCACAGCCUGCCCCGAAGGACCUGUUCUGCCAGGCCUCAGGCCUCCAAGCAGGGCUUUCUUGAGGCAAAGUGGGACUCUGUGCCUCGUCUCUGAUGCUGGAGAAAGACAAGGCAUCAGGGUCAGGUGUGAUGGCUCUUUGCAGUCAGAAUGAAAGUGCAGCUUAUUAGUCAAGAGGUGACAUUGAGACCUGAGCCCCAGCUCCUUGAAGUCCCUCUUCAUGCAACCCAAAUACACUUCCCAGGGUGGGGAGGGGAAGCCACGCACCGGGAACCUCAUCUUGCUUACAGGUUGUGCCGUCAGGGUGAAUGCCAACUCCUUCCUCCCCGGAAAAGCCAUAACUCAACAAAUAUGGUUUGAUGACCUGCAUUAUGAUGUCACUCUUUUUGAGAGCCUAAGAGCAGGCCAAGACCCUCCUGAGCCCCAGGUUCCUCAUCUUCAGAGCAACCAGUCGAGCAUGAAAUGGCUGAUGUGGGACCCUUGGAAUAAAAGUGUCAGAUACACCUUCGGGAUGAGCACCUGCUGUCUAUUUCCUCCCCCUUGACUCCACACAAUUCAGGAAGGAAAAAAAUCACUGCCUUUCUCAUUAAUCACGCCAAUAGCUGCUGCAAAAUGCUUGGGAGUUGAGUGAGAUGGGAAGAGACUAUUAAAAAUAAAGAUAUAGAACUGAAAGUCCUCAGCAUCUGGGUAAGAAUGAAAUCCUGGGGAACAGUGGAAUAGGUCAUUUUGGUGACAGGUAAUUGGUUAAAACUACAAAUUCCUCAAUGGCACUGAAUCCAGAGUGAGCUUGGGAUCUAGGAGGAAGUUUCUGUCCAGAACAAACCUUUUUUUAGAAGAUAACAUGCAUACAGAAAAGCAUGUAAAUCCCAGCUUGAUGAAUUUCCAGCUAAUGAAGCUGCCUACAUAUCCUGAUUAAAACCAGAGUGUGGCCAGCCUCUUAGCCAGCCCUUCUUACCCACCCCAGGAUGACCACCAUACUGACCAUCACCAAGAACACUGGUGAGUUUUACCUGUUUUCAAAUUUCGUGUAAAGAGUGUCUUAUAGUAUUCUCUGUUGUGUCUGGCUUCUCUCAUUCAACAUGAUGCACGUGGUUACACAUGGUUACAUCUGGCAUAGCUGAGUAGUUUUCCAUUGUGUGGCCAUACGCAAUCUAUUUCCUAGCCUAUUAAUG
rnacentral:lncRNA from 1 species